GAUGAACGCUGGCGGCGUGCCUAAUACAUGCAAGUCGAGCGAACAGACGAGGAGCUUGCUCCUCUGACGUUAGCGGCGGACGGGUGAGUAACACGUGGAUAACCUACCUAUAAGACUGGGAUAACUUCGGGAAACCGGAGCUAAUACCAGAUAAUAUAUUUAACCGCAUGGUUCAAUAGUGAAAGACGGUUUUGCUGUCACUUAUAGAUGGAUCCGCGCCGCAUUAGCUAGUUGGUAAGGUAACGGCUUACCAAGGCAACGAUGCGUAGCCGACCUGAGAGGGUGAUCGGCCACACUGGAACUGAGACACGGUCCAGACUCCUACGGGAGGCAGCAGUAGGGAAUCUUCCGCAAUGGGCGAAAGCCUAACGGAGCAACGCCGCGUGAGUGAUGAGGGUCUUCGGAUCGUAAAACUCUGUUAUUAGGGAAGAACAAAUGUGUAAGUAACUAUGCACGUCUUGACGGUACCUAAUCAGAAAGCCACGGCUAACUACGUG
rnacentral:rRNA from 1 species